CCUGCGCUGCUUUCAAAUCUACGAACCAGCUACGCUUACGAUUGCGACGACAGACCGAGAGAGUAAAAUGAAGCAGAGUUUCAUCGGGAUCUUUUUGGCUCUGACCAUUGUAUUUGGUCUUGUCUGGGACGUGACUGCAGAGUUAGAAGACGCAGAUUUUUCGACUGAGGUUGAGAAAACGGAGAAAGUGGAAGAAGUGCACGUGUCCAAACGGUAAGACCAUUCUAUCUUGCACUCAACU